UACGGAAGGCAGCAGUGGGGAAUAUUGCACAAUGGGCGCAAGCCUGAUGCAGCCAUGCCGCGUGUAUGAAGAAGGCCUUCGGGUUGUAAAGUACUUUCAGCGGGGAGGAAGGCGAUGCGGUUAAUAACCGCGUCGAUUGACGUUACCCGCAGAAGAAGCACCGGCUAACUCCGUGCCAGCAGCCGCGGUAAUACGGAGGGUGCAAGCGUUAAUCGGAAUUACUGGGCGUAAAGCGCACGCAGGCGGUCUGUUAAGUCAGAUGUGAAAUCCCCGGGCUUAACCUGGGAACUGCAUUUUGAAACUGGCAGGCUUGAGUCUUGUAGAGGGGGUAGAAUUCCAGGUGUAGCGGUGAAAUGCGUAGAGAUCUGGAGGAAUACCGGUGGCGAAGGCGGCCCCUGGACAAGACUGACGCUCAGGUGCGAAAGCGUGGGGAGCAAACGAGGAUUAGGAUACC
rnacentral:rRNA from 1 species